CAAAAGCGUAUAUUAAAGUUGUUGCAGUUAAAAAGCUCGUAGUUGAACCUUGGGCUUGGCUGGCCGGUCCAUCUUUUUUGAUGCGUACUGGACCCAGCCGAGCCUUUCCUUCUGGCUAGCCUUUUGGCGAACCAGGACUUUUACUUUGAAAAAAUUAGAGUGUUCAAAGCAGGCCUUUGCUCGAAUAUAUUAGCAUGGAAUAAUAGAAUAGGACGUUAUGGUUCUAUUUUGUUGGUUUCUAGGACCAUCGUAAUGAUUAAUAGGGACGGUCGGGGGUAUCAGUAUUCAGUUGUCAGAGGUGAAAUUCUUGGAUCUACUGAAGACUAACUACUGCGAAAGCAUUUACCAAGGACGUUUUCAUUAA
rnacentral:rRNA from 1 species